UUACGGCUAUAUCACGUUGAAACACGGGUUCUCGUACGAUCAUCGAAGUUAAGCAAACUCGAGCCUGGUCAGCACUUAAAUGAGUGACCGCUUGUAAAUAUCAAUGGUCGCAA